rnacentral:rRNA from 1 species
GACGAACGCUGGCGGCGUGCCUAACACAUGCAAGUCGAACGGAGCAGAUCCCUUCGGGGGUUUGCUUAGUGGCGAACGGGUGAGUAACGCGUGAGGAACCUCCCUUUCAGUGGGGGACAACAGUUGGAAACGACUGCUAAUACCGCAUAAGCCCACGGUGCCGCAUGGCACAGCGGGAAAAGGAUUUAUUCGCUUCAGGAUGGACUCGCGUCCAAUUAGCUAGUUGGUGAGGUAACGGCCCACCAAGGCGACGAUUGGUAGCCGGACUGAGAGGUUGAACGGCCACAUUGGGACUGAGACACGGCCCAG